rnacentral:rRNA from 1 species
GACGAACGCGGGCGGCGUGCCUAAUACAUGCAAGUCGAACGCAGUUGCGAACGGGUGAGUAAAGCGUAGGUAACUGCCUCGUAGCGGGGGAAGGCUAUUGGAGACGAUAGCUAAUACCGCAUACUGUGAGAUUGAACUGCGUUGUAUGAGCUAGUUGGGGAGGUGAAGGCUCACCAAGGCGCCGAGACAUAGCCGACCUGAGACGGUUAUCGGCAAGACUGGGACUGAGACACGGCUCAGACUCAUACGGGAGGCAGCAGUAGGGAAGCUUCGGCAAUGGACGGAAGUCUGACCGAGCAACGCGGAGUGAGUGAAGACGGUUUUCGGAUCGUAAAGCUCUGUUGUUAGAGAAGCUCUAACUAACCAGAAAGGGACUGCUCACAAGGUGGCAGCAGCCGCGGUAAUAC